UACAGAGGUCCCAAGCGUUGUUCGGAUUCACUGGGCGUAAAGGGUGCGUAGGCGGUCGGGUAAGUCUGAUGUGAAAUCUCACAGCUUAACUGUGAAACUGCAUUGGAUACUAUCCGGCUCGAGGAAUGGAGGGGAGACUGGAAUACUUGGUGUAGCAGUGAAAUGCGUAGAUAUCAAGUGGAACACCAGUGGCGAAGGCGAGUCUCUGGGCCUUACCUGACGCUGAGGAGCGAAAGCGUGGGGAGCGAACAGG
rnacentral:rRNA from 1 species